GCGCUCGUGGCCUAAUGGAUAAGGCAUCUGACUUCUAAUCAGAGGAUUGUGGGUUCGAGUCCCACCGAGCGUG
rnacentral:tRNA from 3 species